UACGUAGGGGCAAGCGUUGUCCGGAAUUACUGGGCGUAAAGCGCACGCAGGCGGAAUUGUAAGUCCGUUGUAAAAUUCAGAGGCUCAACCUCUGUCUGUCGGCGGAUACUGCAAAUCUAGAGUAUGUGAGAGGGAAGUGGAAUUCCUGGUGUAGCGGUGAAAUGCGUAGAUAUCAGGAGGAACUCCUGUGGCGAAGGCGACUUCCUGGCACAAGACUGACGCUCAUGUGCGAAAGCUAGGGUAGCGAACGGGAUUAGA
rnacentral:rRNA from 1 species